AUGGAAGAUGAUUAUCCAGAAGACCUCGGCAGAAGGAGAUUCCUCGGAAAUCUUGGCACUAGAUUUCCCAUUAAAGAGCCUCACAUCAAGCAUGAUGUACGCAUAACCAUAUCAAAAUCUCAAGGUCAUUCAACAGCAUUUGGUGCAUCUAACAUACAGAAACACCAGAGAGCAUUUGAUAAAGAAUCAAAGGUAACAAAUGGUGGUGGCAGUAGCGGUGUUUCAAGGAGGAUGGCGAUGGUGAUGCGAGGAUGGGGAUAUCAUUGA